rnacentral:rRNA from 1 species
UGAGGAAUAUUGGUCAAUGGAGGCAACUCUGAACCAGCCAUGCCGCGUGCAGGAAGACUGCCCUAUGGGUUGUAAACUGCUUUUAUACAGGAAGAAACAGUCGUACGUGUACGACCUUGACGGUACUGUAAGAAUAAGCACCGGCUAACUCCGUGCCAGCAGCCGCGGUAAUACGGAGGGUGCAAGCGUUAUCCGGAAUCAUUGGGUUUAAAGGGUCCGCAGGCGGUCAAUUAAGUCAGAGGUGAAAUCCCAUAGCUUAACUAUGGAACUGCCUUUGAUACUGGUUGACUUGAGUUAUACGGAAGUAGAUAGAAUAAGUAGUGUAGCGGUGAAAUGCAUAGAUAUUACUUAGAAUACCGAUUUGCGAAGGCAGUCUACUACGUAUAUACUGACGCUCAUGGACGAAAGCGUGGGGAGCGAACA